ACCACAAUUGCCAACACCCAUGGCCGGAGAGCCAAGAUCACCAGUGGACAAACCCGCCUUUCCAAACGGGCAGGUACUCCACUGAUCCAUAUGGAGCUUCACGAUCCAGACCUCCGCCCCAAUUUGAUGCAGGAUGAUACUCCGACGCCUCCUACGCUUUCAUGAAUGACUACUACCAAGAGGCCGACGCUUUCUUCACCCAUACCGACAACAUUCUCCUCGACAUAUAGAAUACACAAGCAGAACAUGGAUGACUCCUGGAAGAACAACAGAAAUGGAACCAUGACCACGCCACUGCAGUACAAGAACUGAGACAAGAUACCACGACAAUGAAAGACAACAUCACCAUCAUGAUGCGAUUCUGGAAC
rnacentral:lncRNA from 1 species